AUUGAACGCUGGCGGAAUGCUUUACACAUGCAAGUCGAACGGCAGCACGGGGCAACCUGGUGGCGAGUGGCGAACGGGUGAGUAAUACAUCGGAACGUGCCCAAUCGUGGGGGAUAACGUAGCGAAAGUUACGCUAAUACCGCAUACGAUCUACGGAUGAAAGCGGGGAUCGCAAGACCUCGCGCGAAUGGAGCGGCCGAUGUCAGAUUAGGUAGUUGGUGGGGUAAAGGCUCACCAAGCCGACGAUCUGUAGCUGGUCUGAGAGGACGACCAGCCACACUGGGACUGAGACACGGCCCAGACUCCUACGGGAGGCAGCAGUGGGGAAUUUUGGACAAUGGGCGCAAGCCUGAUCCAGCCAUUCCGCGUGCAGGAUGAAGGCCUUCGGGUUGUAAACUGCUUUGUACGGAACGAAACGGUUCUCUCUAAUACAGGGGCUAAUGACGGUACCGUAAGAAUAAGCACCGGCUAACUACGUGCCAGCAGCCGCGGUAAU
rnacentral:rRNA from 1 species